rnacentral:piRNA from 1 species
UAAAGGUGUGUAUCAAAAAGCCAGCCCACCU